rnacentral:tRNA from 1 species
GGCCACAGCUCAGUGGCAAAGCAUCUGCCUGGCAUGGAGAAGGUCCCAGGUUCAAUCACUGGCAUCUCCA